rnacentral:rRNA from 1 species
AGUCGAGCGAUGAAACACCUUCGGGUGUGAAUUAGCGGCGAACGGGUGAGGAACACGUGAGAAAUCUGCCUUCAACACUGGGAUAACUCCGGGAAACCGGGGCUAAUACCGGAUAUGAAAUCUGCGGGCAUCCGCGGAUUUGGAAAGUUUUUCGGUUGAAGAUGAUCUCGCGGCCUAUCAGCUUGUUGGUGAGGUAAUGGCUCACCAAGGCGACGACGGGUAGCCGGCCUGAGAGGGCGACCGGCCACACUGGGACUGAGACACGGCCCAGACUCCUACGGGAGCCAGCAGUGGGGAAUAUUGGGCAAUGGAGGAAACUCUGACCCAGCGACGCCGCGUGCGGGAUGAAGGCCUUCGGGUUGUAAACCGCUUUCAGCAGGGAAGAAGCGAAAGUGACGGUACCUGCAGAAGAAGCACCGGCUAACUAUGUGCCAGCAGCCGCGGUAAUACAUAGGGUGCAAGCGUUGUCCGGAAUUAUUGGGCGUAAAGAGCUCGUAGGUGGUUCGUCACGUCGGAUGUGAAACUCUGGGGCUUAACCCCAGACCUGCAUUCGAUACGGGCGAGCUUGAGUAUGGUAGGGGAGUCUGGAAUUCCU